UACGAAGGGGGCUAGCGUUGCUCGGAAUUACUGGGCGUAAAGCGCACGUAGGCGGCUCUUUAAGUCGGGGGUGAAAUCCUGGGGCUCAACUCCAGAACUGCCUUCGAUACUGUAGAGCUUGAGUUCGGGAGAGGUGAGUGGAACUGCGAGUGUAGAGGUGAAAUUCGUAGAUAUUCGCAAGAACACCAGUGGCGAAGGCGGCUCACUGGCCCGAUACUGACGCUGAGGUGCGAAAGCGUGGGGAGCAAACAGG
rnacentral:rRNA from 1 species